CGACGGGCCCGCACAAGCAGCGGAGCGUGUGGUUUAAUUCGAUGCUACACGAAGAACCUUACCAGGGUUUGACAUGCAAGUGGUAGGAAUCUGAAAGGGACCGACCCUUCGGGAGCUUGCACAGGUGCUGCAUGGCUGUCGUCAGCUCGUGUCGUGAGAUGUUCGGUUAAGUCCGCUAACGAGCGCAACCCUCACUGUGUGUUACAAGUGUCACACGGGACUGCCGGUUUUAAGCCGGAGGAAGGCGAGGAUGACGUCAAGUCAGCAUGGCCUUUAUAUCUUGGGCUACACACACGCUACAAUGGUCUGUACAAUAGGUUGCCAAGCCGCGAGGCGGAGCCAAUCCUUAAAGCAGGCCUCAGUUCAGAUUGUAGGCUGCAACUCGCCUGCAUGAAGAUGGAGUUGCUAGUAACCGCAGGUCAGCUAUACUGCGGUGAAUACGUUCCCGGGUCUU
rnacentral:rRNA from 1 species